rnacentral:rRNA from 1 species
UACGUAGGGGGCGAGCGUUGUCCGGAAUUAUUGGGCGUAAAGAGCGUGUAGGCGGUUCGGUAAGUCUGCCGUGAAAACCUGGGGCUCAACCCCGGGCGUGCGGUGGAUACUGCCGGGCUAGAGGGUGGUAGAGGCGAGUGGAAUUCCCGGUGUAGCGGUGAAAUGCGCAGAUAUCGGGAGGAACACCAGUAGCGAAAGCGGCUUCCUGGACCAGUACCGACGUUCAGGCACGAAAGCGUGGGGAGCAAACAGG